rnacentral:rRNA from 1 species
CCCGCUGAACUUAAGCAUAUCAGUAAGCGGAGGAAAAGAAACUAACAAGGAUUCCCCUAGUAACGGCGAGUGAAGCGGGAAAAGCUCAAAUUUAAAAUCUGGCAUCCUCUGGGUGUCCGAGUUGUAGUCUAGGGAGGCGCUUUCUGUGCUGGACCGUGUAAAAGUCUCUUGGAAUAGAGCAUCAUAGAGGGUGAGAAUCCCGUCUUUGACACGGACUGCCAGUGCUAUGUGAUGCGCUCUUCAAAGAGUCGAGUUGUUUGGGAAUGCAGCUCAAAAUGGGUGGUAAAUUCCAUCUAAAGCUAAAUAUUGGCGAGAGACCGAUAGCGAACAAGUACCGUGAGGGAAAGAUGAAAAGCACUUUGGAAAGAGAGUUAAACAGUACGUGAAAUUGUUGAAAGGGAAACGCUUGAAGUCAGUCGCGUCGACCGAGACUCAGCCUCGCCUUGGCUUGGUGUACUUCUCGGCUGACGGGUCAGCAUCAAUUUCGAUCCUUGGAUAAUGGCAAGGGAAAGGUAGCACCUUUACAGGUGUGUUAUAGUCCUUUGUCGGACGCAAGGGUUGGGAUUGAGGAACUCAGCACGCACCUCAUCGGUGUCGGGGCCUUUUGGCCUACGUUACGUGCUUAGGAUGCUGGCAUAAUGGCUUUAAACGACCCGUCUUGAAACACGG